rnacentral:rRNA from 1 species
GACGAACGCUGGCGGCGUGCUUAACACAUGCAAGUCGAACGGAAAGGCCCUGCUUUUGUGGGGUGCUCGAGUGGCGAACGGGUGAGUAACACGUGAGUAACCUGCCCUUGACUUUGGGAUAACUUCAGGAAACUGGGGCUAAUACCGGAUAGGAGCUCCUGCUGCAUGGUGGGGGUUGGAAAGUUUCGGCGGUUGGGGAUGGACUCGCGGCUUAUCAGCUUGUUGGUGGGGUAGUGGCUUACCAAGGCUUUGACGGGUAGCCGGCCUGAGAGGGUGACCGGCCACAUUGGGACUGAGAUACGGCCCAGACUCCUACGGGAGGCAGCAGUGGGGAAUAUGGCACAAUGGGCGGAAGGCUGAUGCAGCAACGCCGCGUGCGGGAUGACGGCCUUCGGGUUGUAAACCGCUUUCGCCUGUGACGAAGCGUGAGUGACGGUAAUGGGUAAAGCAGCACCGGCUAACUAC